UACAGUAUCAUUGCAUUUACAACUCGAUAUCAAUAGUACAGUUGCAUUAUGACAAGUGAUUACAGCGUUCGUUAAAACAAACCGUGGAUUAUAAUUGUCAAACUGUGUGCAUUUUAUUGAGUGAUUGAAGAAUUUGAUAACAUUUCAAGGUGAUAUUAGACGGGAAGCGCUGAGACAUUUAAAACAGAAUGAAGCAUUUAACAGUAACUUUGGUUGUAUUAGUUCUAGUGAUAUACCUAUCACACGAUUUAAGCAAACACUCGGCAUCAGCAAUUCCAGCGCUGAUGCUGUGUAAUGGAAAGUGUUUCAAUGGAGGGACAAUUCUCAUGCCUACUUCAAUAUUUGGAUACUGUCACUGUUUGUGCCGAAAUGGUUUUGCUGGUCCUAGAUGUGAAAUCCCUCCAAAGAAUAGGAAGUUACGAAUGAUGUAUUUAUUAAAGAAAUUGAGAUCCAGGUGACCAGUAAUCAGAAUUUAGGUUUAUUAAAUAUACCCGGUUACAGAUCGACACAGGAUGGAUGCCUCAAACUUUAAAGGACCAAACUUAAGAAUCUCCAGGAGCUGUGUUCCUUCAACUAGAACACUAACUAUUUAUUUAUUUAUUUAUUGAACAUCUCACUCCUACUAUGAUCCUGAAAGUGCGAUGGUGUCAAUUUCAUUGCGACAGUGUCAGAAGUCUUAAAUCCAUUCCAGCCAUUGGCCAAGAAUCUCAGUUCGUCGGAGUAGUGAGAACACUAAGCUGGAAUCGGUUUUGGAGUCUUUGCGAUCUGCUCCGAUUCAUCCACAGAUUACGGAACCUAUCGCAAAGCAUGUUUCCGUCGUAAAAAUUCCUUAGAAAUCCAACGGGAUGGGAGAAGCUAUGGACUUCGGUUUUAUUUUGCAUUGUAUGAAUUUCAAUGCAGUAUUAUUUAAGGAUUGAUCUCAGUUUACUCAAAUGUCAUUGUCUCAAAUCAGAUUUGUUUUUGUGAGAUCAUUCCAUUUAUUUAUUAAGUCCCUUGCCGGUUACACUAUUUACACAAAAAAACUUAUACUCAAACACAUGUCAUCUUUUUCACAUCAUUCAAAGCUAACAACCUAUAUAAUUGUAAGCUUUUAAAAUAUGUAGAAUCUCUAUACAGAUGAUCAUACUUUUGAUGUAGCGAUAAGACUUUCUAAAAAACAAUGUUACCAUUACUACAAACUCAAAUAGUCAAUGUUUCUUAGAAUUUGACAUUUUAUUUAUCUAAGAUAACUUCUGCAAAAAAGGGAAAUCACAGAUGUUUUUCUCUCUCCGCAGGGAAGGUAUCGUGUGGAAUUUUAAAUGAACUUUUAACAAUUAUGUUGUAAAAUCAUUAAUUAUUCAGAAAUAUAGAGCAACAUACACGACAUGUGCCAAUCUUGCAUUCCAAAUACCGGUAAGGGACUGUAUCAUCAUAUUUCAAAUUGAAAUAACACGGACGAGUGCAUUCUUAUUGUGAUAACAUAACAUUUGUUAUUUAUAUUUGUUUUCAUUAUUUAUUAUUAUUUAUGAUACUAUGUUUAAGUGUUAUAAAAAAUCAAGUGACAGAAAAAAGAAAGAAUAAAAAAAAUAAAAUUUU